rnacentral:lncRNA from 1 species
ACUCCCAGCCGAGAUCCUCUCAUCAUCUUCCUUCUCCCACGUCUCCGUAUUCAUCCUCAUCCUUCCCAGCAUCUUCCGAACCAACCCAGCUCACCAUGUUUGUGAUCUAUCUUCAUCCCAAUCCAACCAAACUCCCAGCCGUGUCCACAUCCCCUGCAUCCCAGAACAGAGUCUAUCUCCUCCAAAAAUCAAGCCUCUCAUAUUCAUCUUCUCUUCCAGAUGAGAACCAGCAACCUUCUGCUGAAUUAUUCCCAACAUCCGAAGCUUCCCGAGCUUCCUCUCGUUCUAGAUCAGCUUGUAUCCCAGAUUUCCUUUCACAAAACCAAUCCCGCAGCAUGCCAGUCGUUCGGAUUGACUCCGUCGUCCACGUCUGUCACAGCCUUUCCCUGUUUCGGGAUUAAUUCCAGCCGAGAACACCAUCCCACGUUUGAUCCCAGCUGCCAUAUCACCCACGGAUAAGGUCCAAGCUUUUCAACCUCAUCUUCUCCGCGAUUCAUCUUCAUCUCCCCUCAGCCGUGAGCAUCGUUCCAACCGUCCAAGUUUUUCCCCUGCUUCCAAACCUUCCGGAUUCCUCUCAGCCGUGAGCGCCAUCCUGUGUUUCCCACGUCUUCCA